GACGAACGCUGGCGGCGUGCUUAACACAUGCAAGUCGAACGGAAAGGCCCUGCUUUUGUUGGGUGCUCGAGUGGCGAACGGGUGAGUAACACGUGAGUAACCUGCCCUUGACUUUGGGAUAACUUCAGGAAACUGGGGCUAAUACCGGAUAGGAGCUCCUGCUGCAUGGUGGUGGUUGGAAAGUUUCGGCGGUUGGGGAUGGACUCGCGGCUUAUCAGCUUGUUGGUGGGGUAGUGGCUUACCAAGGUUUUGACGGGUAGCCGGCCUGAGAGGGUGACCGGCCACAUUGGGACUGAGAUACGGCCCAGACUCCUACGGGAGGCAGCAGUGGGGAAUAUUGCACAAUGGGCGGAAGCCUGAUGCAGCAACGCCGCGUGCGGGAUGACGGCCUUCGGGUUGUAAACCGCUUUCGCCUGUGACGAAGCGUGGGUGACGGUAAUGGGUAAAGAAGCACCGGCUAACUACGUG
rnacentral:rRNA from 1 species